rnacentral:rRNA from 1 species
GAGGUGAAAGUCGGUUGCUUAACGAUCGAAUAGCCUUUGAAACUGUCAGACUUGAGUAUGGAUGUGGUAGGCGGAAUGUGUAGUGUACCGGUGAAAUGCAUAGAUAUUACACAGAACUCCAAUUGCGAAAGCAGCUUACCAAACCAGCACUGACGCUGAAGCACGAAAGCGUGGGUAGCGAACAGGAUUAGAUACCCUGGUAGUCCACGCAGUAAACGAUGCUCACUCGCUGUUGGCAAUACACCGUCAGCGGCUAAGGGAAACCGAUAAGUGAGCCACCUGGGGAGUACGAUCGCAAGAUUGAAACUCAAAGGAAUUGACGGGGGCCCGCACAAGCGGUGGAACAUGUGGUUUAAUUCGAUGAUACGCGAGGAACCUUACCUGGGCUUAAAUGUGAAGUGCAUUGUUUGGAAACAGACAUUUCCUUCGGGACUCUUUACAAGGUGCUGCAUGGUUGUCGUCAGCUCGUGCCGUGAGGUGUCGGGUUAAGUCCCAUAACGAGCGCAACCCCUAUUGUUAGUUACCAGCGCGUCAAGGCGGGGACUCUAACGAGACUGCCGGUGUAAACCGCGAGGAAGGUGGGGAUGACGUCAAAUCAGCACGGCCCUUAUGUCCAGGGCUACACACGUGUUACAAUGGUCGGUACAGAGGGCAGCUAGGCAGCGAUGUCAAGCGAAUCUCGAAAGCCGAUCCCAGUUCGGAUUGGAGUCUGCAACCCGACUCCAUGAAGGUGAAUCGCUAGUA